rnacentral:rRNA from 1 species
UACGGAGGGGGCGAGCGUUAUUCGGAAUUAUUGGGCGUAAAGCGCGCGUAGGCGGCGCGGUAUGUCGCGCGUGAAAUCUCCCGGCUUAACUGGGAGGGGCCGUGCGAAACUGCCGGGCUUGAGGUCGGAAGGGGAAAGUGGAAUUCCCGGUGUAGCGGUGAAAUGCGUAGAUAUCAGGAAGAACACCUAUGGCGAAAGCAGCUCUCUGGGACGGUACUGACGCUGAGACGCGAAAGCGUGGGGAGCGAACAGG